rnacentral:rRNA from 1 species
AGGUCCUGCCUGCCCAGUGACUAUGUUAAACGGCCGCGGUAUUUUGACCGUGCAAAGGUAGCGCAAUCACUUGUUUUUUAAAUGAAGACCUGUAUGAAUGGUGGAACGAGGGCCUAACUGUCUCCCUUUUCAAGUCAAUGAAAUUGAUCUGCCCGUGCAGAAGCGGGUAUACAAAUACAAGACGAGAAGACCCUUUGGAGCUUAAGAUUAAAAAUCAACUAUGUCAAAUAUUUAUUAAAUAGAACUAAAUAGUAAUUGAUCAUAAUCUUCGGUUGGGGCGACCACGGAAUAAAAACAAACUUCCACAUGGACUGAGGACUAACCUUAAAACCAAGAAAGACAUUUCUAAGUAACAGAAUUUCUGACCACACAGAUCCGGCAAAUUGCCGAUCAAUGGACCAAGUUACCCUAGGGAUAACAGCGCAAUCCCCUUUUAGAGUUCCUAUCGACAAGGGGGUUUACGACCUCGAUGUUGGAUCAGGAC